CCUACGGGAGGCAGCAGUGAGGAAUAUUGGUCAAUGGACGGAAGUCUGAACCAGCCAUGCCGCGUGCAGGAAGACGGCUCUAUGAGUUGUAAACUGCUUUUGUACAAGGGUAAACCUGAAUACGUGUAUUCAGCUGAAAGUACUUUACGAAUAAGGAUCGGCUAACUCCGUGCCAGCAGCCGCGGUAAUACGGAGGAUCCAAGCGUUAUCCGGAUUUAUUGGGUUUAAAGGGUGGGGAGGCGGAUUGAUAAGUUAGAGGUGAAAUGUCCGAGCUUAACUCGGGAACUGCCUCUAAUACUGUUGGUCUAGAGAGUAGAUGAGGUAGGCGGAAUGUAUGGUGUAGCGGUGAAAUGCUUAGAGAUCAUACAGAACACCGAUUGCGAAGGCAGCUUACCAAUCUAUAUCUGACGUUGAGGCACGAAAGCGUGGGGAGCAAACAGGAUUAGAUACCCGAGUAGUC
rnacentral:rRNA from 1 species